UAUGUGAUCGUCUCUCGCAUAUCAAUAAGCGGAGGAAAAGAAACUAACAAGGAUUCCCCUAGUAACGGCGAGUGAAGCGGGAAGAGCUCAAAUUUGAAAUCUUAAAGGGUUUCCCUUUACGAAUUGUAGUUUAAAGAAGUGUUUUCUGUUGAGGUUUUGGUAAAAGUUCUUUGGAAUAGGACAUCAUAGAGGGUGAGAAUCCCGUAUUUGACCUUUACUUUCAACUUUGUGAUACACUUUCAAAGAGUCGGAUUGUUUGGGAAUGCAGUCCAAAAUGGGUGGUAAAUUUCAUCUAAAGCUAAAUAUUGGCGAGAGACCGAUAGCGAACAAGUACCGUGAGGGAAAGAUGAAAAGAACUUUGAAAAGAGAGUUAAACAGUACGUGAAAUUGUCAAAAGGGAAGCGUUUGACACCAGUGUUGUUUUUCUGAAAAUCAAUUAAAGAACUGUUUAUGCUAAGUUGUUUAGACUUUAUCAGCUAUCUGUUUAGUUUUGAGCUUUUCUUUAAUGCACUUUUCAGUUAACAAGUCAACAUCAAUUUCUUUUGCUGUAAAAAAGCUUGAGGAAGGUGGCUUGAGAUUCGUCUUAAGUGUUUAUAGCCUCUUGCCUAUGCAGUCGGAGAGAUUGAGGUCUGCAGCGUAGAUCCUUCGGGGCUAAAUGCAUUUGUGCUAAGUUAUAGCAUUUUAUAGACAACUUGUUGACUAUGAUUUGUCUUGUAGCUUACUCGCUUAUGUUAUUUUACCUACGCUUAGGAUGUUGAGUAGCGACAUACGCA
rnacentral:rRNA from 1 species